GUCAAAACCUGAUCAAGAUAGGAGACGAUUUUUUUCAGGUCAAUAUUAAAUUGUAUUGAGAGUUAAAUUUCAUCACGUGUACAAAAAUGCAUGGCAUAAUGGGGCUUUUUUGCGUGGCUAUAAUUGGCGUUAUUCCAAUUUGUGUCGCAGUUUGUCCAAAUGGUUGGCUGAGGUACGAGCAGUCGUGUUACCGUGUUGGACACACAUCUUUCAACUGUCUUGAUUCGCAGCGAUGAGCCAGUGGUGAUUGUCGGUUGAUCUCCCCUCGUCUACAUUUCCUUCGGUGCAUUGUUAACAAACGACUGAACCACAUUUAAAAUACAAUACCUAUGAUGC